UAUGUCCAGUUGAGAUUAGGACUGUUCAUACGGGGCAGGAACCCGGAUAACCGGGUGUUCGGUAAUGGUUUUCGGCCCGGAUUUAAUCCGGGCCGAAACCUGCAUUUUAAAAACCGGCUCAAUCUAGGCCAGUCAUGGGUAUUACACCCGGGUACCGGAUUAAGAUCCGGUACCCAGUUUUUAGGGUUUUGAUUGUGAAUGUGAUUUAUUUGACUCCUCUCUCUCUUUCUCGCGUCCGAGCCCAAUGAAAUGUAACCUCUCUCUCUCUCUCUCUCUUCUCUCUCUCUCUCUCUCUCUCUCUCUCUCUCUCUCUCUCUCUCUCUCUCUCUCUCUCUCUCUCUCUCUCUCUCUCUCGUCCAAGCUCGACGAAUGUUACCCUAGGCUUUGCCUUCAAGUUUUGCCGCCAUCUCUCUCUCUCACCGCCGCCGAACUUUAGAUCGAAAGAAGUUUCAGAUGUGGCGAUGGAAGAAGUUCAGGGUGAUGGUAAUCUACUGAUUUCCAAUCAGGAUCAUUUUGAGGCCAAUCACUUUGAAGUUGCUAUUUGUUGUGGAAAUUAAAUCACUUAUUUUGUAAUUCAUAUAUUGUAAUUUAGUAUUUCAUAAUGUAAUGUAUAAAUAAUAAAUAAUAUAAUAUGUAGUGGAUUGUAUUGUAA